CCUGGUUCUACCGAAAUUAUUAAGUGCAUUAGAAGUUGUAAAUUGAUAAACUAACUCCAAUGACAAAGAAUUGAAUUUAAAAAUAUAAACACCUUAUACAGAUGGCAGAAACUAGACAUUGUUUUAAGAAAUCUGAUGUCGGGAUGAUUUGUCAUGAAUAUGAUGUCACUAAAACCAGUUUUCACGUUGCUCAGCAUUUCCCACAAGAUACCAUUUUCUGUUGGAAUUGACUACUGAAGCUAUGGAGUGUGACAAUGGUGUUUGUAUCAAAUCUGUCAAACGCCAUUAUCACACUAAUUAGUUACUGUAUGACUAACCAACAAUGCAAGAAGAAGCCACGUUGUUAAAAGUAUUGCAGAAUAGAUUUUUUUUUUGUGUCAAAAUUAGUCCAUAAAGCUUUGUAAGGUUGAUUGUUUCCUGUUGAAAGUUGGAAUAAAAUGCCAUACAUUUGA